GCUUAGAGUUUGAUCCUGGCUCAGGAUGAACGCUGGCGGUAUGCUUAACACAUGCAAGUCGAACGGAGUACAUUGUACUUAGUGGCGGACGGGUGAGUAACGCGUGAGAAUCUGCCUUUAGGAUGGGGAUAACAGUGGGAAACCAAUGCUAAUACCCAAUGAGCCGAGAGGUAAAAAAUUUAUUGCCUGAAGAGGAGCUCGCGUCCGAUUAGUUAGUUGGUGGGGUAAAGGCCUACCAAGGCGGCGAUCGGUAACUGGUCUGAGAGGACGAUCGGUCACACUGGGACUGAGACACGGCCCAGACUCCUACGGGAGGCAGCAGUGGGGAAUUUUCCGCAAUGGGCGCAAGCCUGACGGAGCAAUACCGCGUGAGGGAGGAAGGCCUUUGGGUUGUAAACCUCUUUUCUUAAGGAAGAAGCUCUGACGGUACUUAAGGAAUCAGCAUCGGCUAACUCCGUGCCAGCAGCCGCGGUAAUACGGAGGAUGCAAGCGUUAUCCGGAAUUAUUGGGCGUAAAGCGUCCGUAGGCGGCAUUAUAAGUCUGCUGUCAAAGACCGCAGCUCAACUGCGGAGAGGCAGUGGAAACUGUAAAGCUAGAGUCUGGUGGGGGUAGAGGGAAUUCCCAGUGUAGCGGUGAAAUGCGUAGAGAUUGGGAAGAACACCAGUGGCGAAAGCGCUCUGCUGGGCCAGAACUGACGCUGAGGGACGAAAGCUAGGGGAGCGAAAGGGAUUAGAUACCCCU
rnacentral:rRNA from 1 species